AACGAACGCUGGCGGCAUGCCUAACACAUGCAAGUCGAACGAGACCUUCGGGUCUAGUGGCGCACGGGUUCGUAACGCGUGGGAACCUUCCCUUAGGUUCGGCAUAACUCAGAGAAAUUUGAGCUAAUACCGGAUGAUGUCUUCGGCCCAAAGAUUUAUCGCGUUUAGAUGGGCGCGCGUUGAAUUAGCUAGUUGGUGGGGUAAAGGCCUACCAAGGCGACGAUCCAUAGCUGGUCAGAGAGGAUGAUCAGCCACACUGGGACUGGGACACGGCCCAGACUCCUACGGGAGGCAGCAGUGGGGAAUAGUGGACAAUGGGCGAAAGCCUGAUCCACCAAUGCCGGGAGAGUGAUGAAGGCCUUAGAGUUGUAAAGCGUUUUUACCCGAGCUGAUAAUGACAGUAUCGGGAGAAUAAGCUCCGGCUAACUCCGUG
rnacentral:rRNA from 1 species